rnacentral:rRNA from 1 species
GAUGAACGCUAGCGGCAGGCUUAACACAUGCAAGUCGAGGGGUAGAGGUUGCUUGCAACCUUGAGACCGGCGCACGGGUGCGUAACGCGUAUGCAACCUACCUUUUACAGAGGGAUAGCCCAGAGAAAUUUGGAUUAAUACCUCAUAGUAUAUAACCUUCGCAUGUUGGUCAUAUUAAAGUUUCAACGGUAAAAGAUGGGCAUGCGUCCUAUUAGCUAGAUGGUAAGGUAACGGCUUACCAUGGCAACGAUAGGUAGGGGUCCUGAGAGGGAGAUCCCCCACACUGGUACUGAGACACGGACCAGACUCCUACGGGAGGCAGCAGUGAGGAAUAUUGGACAAUGGGCGCAAGCCUGAUCCAGCCAUGCCGCGUGCAGGAAGAAGCAUCUAUGGUGUGUAAACUGCUUUUGUACAGGAAGAAACACCCCGACGUGUCGGGACUUGACGGUACUGUAAGAAUAAGGAUCGGCUAACUCCGUGCCAGCCGCCGCAGUAAUAC